GAUGAACGCUGGCGGCGUGCCUAAUACAUGCAAGUCGAGCGAACAGACGAGGAGCUUGCUCCUCUGACGUUGGCCGAGGACGGGUGAGUAACACGUGGAUAACCUACCUAUAAUACUGGGAUAACUUCGGGAAACCGGAGCUAAUACCGGAUAAUCUAUUGAACCGCAUGGGUCGAUAGUGAAAGACGGUUUUGCUGUCACUUAUAGAUGGAUCCGCGCCGCAUUAGCUAGUUGGUAAGGUAACGGGUUACCAAGGCAACGAUGCGUAGCCGACCGGCGAGGGGGAUAGGCCACACGGGAGCUGAGACACGGUCCAGAGUCCUACGGGAGGCAGCAGUAGGGAAUCUGCCGCAAUGGGGGAAAGCCUGACGGAGCAACGCCGCGUGAGUGAUGAAGGUGUUCGGAUCGUAAAACUCUGUUAUUAGGGAAGAACAAAUGUGUAAGUAACUAUGCACGUCGUGACGGUACCUAAUCAGAAAGCCACGGCUAACUACGUG
rnacentral:rRNA from 1 species